rnacentral:rRNA from 1 species
AUGAAUUUAGCGGCGCGGAAUUCGCCCUUGUGCCAAGCAGCCGCGGUAAUUCCAGCUCCAAUAGCGUAUAUUAAAGUUGUUGCCGUUAAAAAGCUCGUAGUCGAACUUCGGCGCCUGAUGGCCGGUCCGCCUUCUUGGUGUGUACUUGCUCAUCGGGCGCUUACCUCCUGGUGAACUCUGAUGUCCUUUACUGGGUGUCAGAGCAAACCAGGACGUUUACUUUGAAAAAAUUAGAGUGUUCAAAGCAGGCCUACGCCCGAAUACAUUAGCAUGGAAUAAUAGAAUAGGACGCGCGUUCCCAUUUUGUUGGUUUCUGAGAUCGCCGUAAUGAUUAAUAGGGAUAGUUGGGGGCAUUUGUAUUCCGUCGUCAGAGGUGAAAUUCUUGGAUUGCCGGAAGACAAACUAUUGCGAAAGCAUUUGCCAAGGAUGUUUUCAUUGAUCAAGAACGAAGGAAGGGGGAUCGAAAACGAUCAGAUACCGUUGUAGUCUCUUCUGUAAACUAUGCCAAUUGGGGAUUAGCACAGGAUUUUCAAUGACUGUGUUAGCACCCGAAGAGAAAUCUUUAAAUGAGGUUCGGGGGGGAGUAUGGUCGCAAGGCUGAAACUUAAAGGAAUUGACGGAAGGGCACCACCAGGUGUGGAGCCUGCGGCUUAAUUUGACUCAACACGGGGAAACUCACCAGGUCCAGACACAAUAAGGAUUGACAGAUUGAUAGCUCUUUCUUGAUCUUGUGGUUGGUGGUGCAUGGCCGUUCUUAGUUGGUGGAGUGAUUUGUCUGGUUAAUUCCGAUAACGAACGAGACCUUAACCUGCUAAAUAGACCAGUCGACUUUGGUUGACUGCUGUCUUCUUAGAGGGACUAUCAGCGUUUAGCUGAUGGAAGUUUGAGGCAAUAACAGGUCUGUGAUGCCC